UACGGAGGAUGCGAGCGUUAUCCGGAUUUAUUGGGUUUAAAGGGUGCGUAGGCGGAUCGUUAAGUCAGUGGUCAAAUUGAGGGGCUCAACCCCUUCCCGCCAUUGAAACUGGCGAUCUUGAGUGGAAGAGAAGUAUGCGGAAUGCGUGGUGUAGCGGUGAAAUGCAUAGAUAUUACGCAGAACCCCGAUUGCGAAGGCAGCAUGCCGGCUUCCUACUGACGCUGAAGCACGAAAGCGUGGGGAUCGAACAGG
rnacentral:rRNA from 1 species